UCUCACUGGUUAAUUACCCGAUAGGUCUCGAUUGCUGGAUGCAUCGAGAUGGAAGCCCCGGCGCCUAAGGAUGGGUCUGCGGCCUAUCCGAAGUAGAGGGUGUAGCGUACCUACUAGCCUACGACGGGUACGGGUUGUGAGACCAAGAGCCCGGACAUGGAUUCUGAGACACGAAUCCAGGCCCUACGGGGUGCAACAGGCGCGAAAACUUUACAAUGCUGGCGACAACGAUAAUGGAACCUCGAGUGCCAGGUUACUAAUCUGGCUGUCGAGAUGCCUAAAAAGCAUUUCAUAUGAAGGGCCGGGCAAGACCGGUGCCAACCGCCGCGGAAACUCCGGCGGCUCGAGUGGUAACCUUUAUUAUUGGGUCUAAAGGGUCUAUAGCCGGCCGGAUAAUUCUCUUGAGAAAUCUGGCAGCUUAACUGUCAGGCUUUCACGAUAUACUGUCUGGCUCGAGGCCGGGAGAGGUGAGAGGUACUUCAGGGGUAGGGGUGAAAUCUUGUAAUCCUUGAAGGACCGCCAGUGGCGAACGCGUCUCACCAGAACGGACCUGACGGCAAGGGACGAAAGCUAGGGGCACGAACCGGAUUAGAUACCCGGGUAGUCCUAGCCGUAAACGAUACUCGCUACGUGUCGGCCACGGUGCGACCGUUGUCGGUGCCGUAGGGAAGCCGUGAAGCGAGCCACCUGUGCAUUACAGCCGCAAGGAUGAAACUUAAAGGAAUUGGCGGGGG
rnacentral:rRNA from 1 species